GACGUAGGGCGCGAGCGUUGUCCGGAUUUAUUGGGCGUAAAGAGCUCGUAGGCGGCUUGUCGCGUCGACUGUGAAAACUCGGGGCUCAACUCCGAGCUUGCAUUCGAUACGGGCAGGCUAGAGUUCGGUAGGGGAGACUGGAAUUCCUGGUGUAGCGGUGAAAUGCGCAGAUAUCAGGAGGAACACCGAUGGCGAAGGCAGGUCUCUGGGCCGAUACUGACGCUGAGGAGCGAAAGCGUGGGGAGCGAACAGG
rnacentral:rRNA from 1 species